GAUGAAGAACGUAGCGAAAUGCGAUAAGUAAUGUGAAUUGCAGAAUUCCGUGAAUCAUCGAAUCUUUGAACGCACAUUGCGACCCCUGGCAUUCCGGGGGGCAUGCCUGUCCGAGCGUCAUUUCUGCCCUCAAGCACGGCUUGUGUGUUGGGUGUGGUCCCCCCGGGGACCUGCCCGAAAGGCAGCGGCGACGUCCGUCUGGUCCUCGAGCGUAUGGGGCUCUGUCACUCGCUCGGGAAGGACCUGCGGGGGUUGGUCACCACUAUAUUUUACCACGGUUGACCUCGGAUCAGGUAGGAGUUACCCGCUGAACUUAAGCAUAUCAAUAAGCGGAGGA
rnacentral:misc_RNA from 1 species